UACGGGGGGGGCAAGCGUUGUUCGGAAUUACUGGGCGUAAAGGGCGCGUAGGCGGCCUGUUAAGUCGAACGUGAAAUCCCCGGGCUCAACCCGGGAACUGCGUCCGAUACUGGCAGGCUUGAAUCCGGGAGAGGGAUGCGGAAUUCCAGGUGUAGCGGUGAAAUGCGUAGAUAUCAGGAGGAACACCGAUGGCGAAGGCAGCUCGCUGGGACGGUACUGACGCUGAGGCGCGAAAGCGUGGGGAGCGAACAGG
rnacentral:rRNA from 1 species